AGAGUUUGAUCCUGGCUCAGAAUCAACGCUGGCGGCGCGCUUAACACAUGCAAGUCGAACGAGAAAGGGUAGCAAUACCUGAGUAAAGUGGCGUACGGGUGAGUAACACGUGGGUAAUCUACCUCUUUGUGGGGAAUACCUCUGGGAAACCGGAGACAAUACCGCAUAAGCCUGAGAAGGGAAAGCCGGAAGGCGCAGAGAGAGGAGCCCGCGGUCGAUUAGCUAGUUGGUAGGGUAAUGGCCUACCAAGGCAAUGAUCGAUAGCCGGCCUGAGAGGGCACACGGCCACACUGGCACUGAAACACGGGCCAGACUCCUACGGGAGGCAGCAGUGGGGAAUCUUGCACAAUGGGGGCAACCCUGAUGCAGCGACGCCGCGUGA
rnacentral:rRNA from 1 species